UACGGAGGGGGCGAGCGUUAUUCGGAAUUAUUGGGCGUAAAGGGUGCGUAGGCGGCCUUGUAAGUCAAAGGUGAAAUCCCUCGGCUCAACUGAGGAACUGCCUUUGAAGCUGCAAGGCUUGAGGCCGGGAGGGGGUAGCGGAAUUCCCAAUGUAGCGGUGAAAUGCGUAGAUAUUGGGAGGAACACCAGUGGCGAAGGCGGCUACCUGGACCGGUUCUGACGCUGAGGCGCGAAAGCGUGGGUAGCAAACAGG
rnacentral:rRNA from 1 species